rnacentral:rRNA from 1 species
GAUGAACGCUGGCGGCGUGCCUAAUACAUGCAAGUCGAGCGAAUGGAUUAAGAGCUUGCUCUUAUGAAGUUAGCGGCGGACGGGCGAGUAACACGUGGGUAACCUGCCCAUAAGACUGGGAUAACUCCGGGAAACCGGGGCUAAUACCGGAUAACAUUUUGAACCGCAUGGUUCGAAAUUGAAAGGCGGCUUCGGCUGUCCCUUAUGGAUGGACCCGCGUCGCUUAGCUAGUUGGUGAGGUAACGGCUCACCAAGGCAACGAUGCGUAGCCGACCUGAGAGGGUGAUCGGCCACACUGGGACUGAGACACGGCCCAGACUCCUACGGGAGGCAGCAGUAGGGAAUCUUCCGCAAUGGACGAAAGUCUGACGGAGCAACGCCGCGUGAGUGAUGAAGGCUUUCGGGUCGUAAAACUCUGUUGUUAGGGAAGAACAAGUGCUAGUUGAAUAAGCUGGCACCUUGACGGUACCUAACCAGAAAGCCACGGCUAACUACGUGCCAGCCGCCGCCGUAA